AUUUUAAUCAAUAAAUCUGCCUUACAAGCAGGGGGUCGUAGGUUCGAAUCCUUCAGCGCCCA
rnacentral:tRNA from 1 species